GACGGUAGAUGACGGUAGAUGACACUAGAUGACGGUAGAUGACACUAGAUGACACUAGAUGACACUAGAUGACGGUAGAUGACGGUAGAUGACAGUAGAUGACAGUAGAUGACACCAGAUGACACUAGAUGACACUAGAUGACGGUGGAUUACACUAGAUGACGGUAGAUGACACUAGAUGACGGUGGAUGACACUAGAUGACACUAGAUGACGGUAGAUGACACUAGAUGACGGUAGAUGACGAUAGAUGACACUAGAUGACGGUAGAUGACAGUAGAUGACAGUAGAUGACUGUAAAUCACACUAGAUGACGGUAGAUGACACUAGAUGACGGUAGACGACGGUAGUUGACAGUAGAUGACAGUAGAUGACAGUAGAUGACGGUAGAUGACACUAGAUGACACUAGAUGACAGUAGAUGACACUAGAUGACACUAGAUGACGGUGGAUUACACUAGAUGACGGUAGAUGACACUAGAUGACGGUAGAUGACGGUAUAUGACACUAGAUGACGGUAUAUGACACUAGAUGACGGUAGAUGACACUAGAUGACACUAGAUGACACUAGAUGACGGUAGAUGACAGUAGAUGACAGCAGAUGACUGUAGAUGACACUAGAUGACAGUAGAUGACAGUAGAUGACUGUAGAUCACACUAGAUGACUGUAGAUCACACUAGAUGACGGUAGAUGACACUAGAUGACGGUAGAUGACAGUAGAUGGCAGUAGAUGACAGUAGAUGACAGUAGAUGACGGUGGAUGACGGUAGAUGACGGUAGAUGACAGUAGAUGACAGUAGAUGACAGUAGAUGACGGUAGAUGACGGUAGAUGACACUAGAUGACACUAGAUGACACUAGAUGACGGUAGAUGACAGUAGAUGACACUAGAUGACACUAGAUGACGUUAGAUGACACUAGAUGACGGUAGAUGACACUAGAUGACGGUGGAUUACACUAGAUGACGGUAGAUGACACCAGAUGACGGUAGAUGACGGUAUAUGACACUAGAUGACGGUAGAUGACACUAGAUG
rnacentral:lncRNA from 1 species